ACGAACGCUGGCGGCGUGCUUAACACAUGCAAGUCGAACGGAAAGGCCCUGCUUUUGUGGGGUGCUCGAGUGGCGAACGGGUGAGUAACACGUGAGUAACCUGCCCUUGACUUUGGGAUAACUUCAGGAAACUGGGGCUAAUACCGGAUAGGAGCUCCUGCUGCAUGGUGGGGGUUGGAAAGUUUCGGCGGUUGGGGAUGGACUCGCGGCUUAUCAGCUUGUUGGUGGGGUAGUGGCUUACCAAGGCUUUGACGGGUAGCCGGCCUGAGAGGGUGACCGGCCACAUUGGGACUGAGAUACGGCCCAGACUCCUACGGGAGGCAGCAGUGGGGAAUAUUGCACAAUGGGCGGAAGCCUGAUGCAGCAACGCCGCGUGCGGGAUGACGGCCUUCGGGUUGUAAACCGCUUUCGCCUGUGACGAAGCGUGAGUGACGGGAAUGGGUAAAGAAGCACCGGCGAACUACGU
rnacentral:rRNA from 1 species